rnacentral:rRNA from 1 species
UUGAACGCUGGCGGCAGGCCUAACACAUGCAAGUCGAGCGGAUGAAGGGAGCUUGCUCCUGGAUUCAGCGGCGGACGGGUGAGUAAUGCCUAGGAAUCUGCCUGGUAGUGGGGGAUAACGUCCGGAAACGGGCGCUAAUACCGCAUACGUCCUGAGGGAGAAAGUGGGGGAUCUUCGGACCUCACGCUAUCAGAUGAGCCUAGGUCGGAUUAGCUAGUUGGUGGGGUAAAGGCCUACCAAGGCGACGAUCCGUAACUGGUCUGAGAGGAUGAUCAGUCACACUGGAACUGAGACACGGUCCAGACUCCUACGGGAGGCAGCAAUGGGGAAUAUUGGACAAUGGGCGAAAGCCUGAUCCAGCCAUGCCGCGUGUGUGAAGAAGGUCUUCGGAUUGUAAAGCACUUUAAGUUGGGAGGAAGGGCAGUAAGUUAAUACCUUGCUGUUUUGACGUUACCAACAGAAUAAGCACCGGCUAACUUCGUG